AGCAGGGGGAGGGGUGGAGGAAGAGAGAGAGAGUGAGAGAGAAUCUCAAGCAGAUCCAUGCUGACACAGUCUGAUGCAGGGUCAAUAUAUUGACCCUGAGAUCAUGACCUGAGCUGAAAUCAAGAUGCUUAACUGACUGAGCCACCCAGGGGUCCCUGGGAAAAUCCUAUUUUAUUUAGGAUGCAGUGGAAAAUGGACCCAAAUACUGCUUAAAAUGUUGUUUGGUAUGAAUUAGAGCACUUUAGGGAGCCUAAUUGCUGUGUAGAAGGCUGGACAAAGAUAUAUUUCAGACUUUGAAGUCUGCCAGUCAAUCCUAGAUCAAAUUGAUAUUAUUACCCUUAAUGAUGUUAUUUCCACUUUAUGGCUCUAAAUCAGCACACAGAUGUAUUUUGAGAGAUUAUAGUGGUUUGGUAGGAGCUCUUAACUUUUAUAAAUGGAUUGAACACAAUUUUUGCCUGCAACAUUUAUAACAUAUCAUGUAUAAUACCUGUAAAUAUGGUUAAUACAUCCUAAAUAGAAAAGGUUAAUAAAUGAAUUGACAAGAUUUGGUAUCAGAACACCAAGUAGACUAAGGUAUUAUUAUGUAAGCCACAUGACUAUAGAGGACAUCCUCACAUUUUGGUAGCAGUGUAUAACAGACAAAAAUCUAUAUUAUCUCUUUUUCCCUGAAGAAAAUAGAACUUCAAAUUAGCUGAUGCGAAGGUUUGGUAUCUUGAUGGGGCUCUGCUUUGUCAUUGUCCUUGGUGUGUUCUCUAAAGUGCACAGGAAAAUUCUCUUCUGAAUACAGAAUGAAGUAAGGUGUUAGCACAGUCUUGUAGAGACUUAAGUCUUCUAAUAUCUAGAAUAGAAUUGAAGGGUAGGAAGACUUGGCUGAAUGAAUACAGGUUUGGUACUUGGAGAAAAUGAAAUAAAAAAGCAAAAUUAUGAGAAUACUGAGGCCCUGUAUGUGUAGCAAGUAUUUGCCUUGGGUGACAAUACUUUUUCUAAAUUCUGCUUGUGUGGCUUCUAAUUCAGGAUAGGAUCUUCUUUGAAGCCUUAAACAAUAAAUAGAGACUAAAUUCAGCUAUAACUCGAGCCCUGUGACCUUUGUCCACGGAUUCAGUUCAAUCUCAUAAAUCAGAAAUUCAAAUGUCAAAUCACCCAUGAUUUAUCCAGCUCUGAAUACUGGCAUUUAGAAACCCAUCCUGUCUCAUUCUAGAGGUGAAUUUUUGGUCAGUGGGAGGCCUAUUCUCAGAAGCCUAUCUAGUCUGAGAAUAUACAUACACUUGCCUUAUAUAAUUUUUAAAAAGAAGAAUGGGGACUUUCUUUGAUAGCACCUUAGUUUACAUGAGCGAAGGUACUGAAAGCCUUUGAUAUGAGAAAACUUCUUAGACUAGGUUUCCUACAGAGAGACUGAUUCAAUGAGAAACUAUUUACCUAAGCCAGAAAUACUUUAUAGCUUAAUGUGAAAAUUUGUAUUAGAUAUUGGUAAGAGACAGUGUCAUGUUUAGUUAUGAGCAGAGAUAUUUGGAAACAAAUUGUACCAUAGGACAAAAGAGGGUCAAUUAAUGGGGCUGUCAUUUAUACAAGUCCAUUGAUAGGGUGAGAUUUUCAUUUCAGCAAGCCUUGUGGGCAGGAUAAAAGGUUCAUUUGGGGACAAUAACCUUAAACUGAAGGAACUGGCACUAGUUCUAAGCUUUAGUUAAUAUAUUAACAGAGACAGGAAACUGUCCAUACCUUCUUAUUCCUUAGUGAAUUGAACAAAGGAAUGAAGCAUGUUCUCAGCUGAUAAGUUAAGCUUAUGGAUGGGGAUGAGGCAGGCUCUGCCUCUGUGUAGGAAUCUGAACUCUCAGCAAGCCCAUGGUCACCUGAGGAUCUUUUUUUGGGGGGAGGGGUGGGAAUCUAGCAGAUACAAAUAUAUGCUUCCGAGACAAUAAUACAAAGUAUUCCCCUAUUUAUAGGAGACAUUCAAAAGAAUCCUGUUUGUUUUGAAUAGUACUUAUUUAUUAAUUUCUCUUGGGGUGGUAGAAACCAGUAUUGUGUGUAUGUAGUGUCCAGAUGUCUGCAUGGUGAUGUGACAUUUAAUCCGGAAGGUCUUUAUCUGUUUAUACCAGCAUUGAAUGAGAUUCCACAUACUUAACCAUGCACGUUGUUGCCAAGUCUUCCUUUAUUCUUGACCUUAAGGUUUCUUAAAGAUCAGCUUUUUCUCUUAGCCACUCUUGUGGUUCCUUGCAGGAACUCUCUUAGCCUGUCUGCCUACACACGAUACUCAACUGUUUUUAUUCUGUGGUCCUGACACUACAUUGAUAGUGGGGACAUUGAUUCUGUUGUUAUUACAUCCCUUACACUGAUUUGGGGCUCUGAUAUUCCCCCUCUUUACUGGGAUUCAAUUGGAGAGACAUAGUCACAGUAUAUCUGGUUCUUUCUUUGGAGCUGUAAUAGGUACUGAUUAUUUUAACUUCAAAUAACAAAAAUCCUAAUUAACAGUGGUUAAAACAAUUAAUUAUCUCACCCAACAAGAGAAAUGGAGAUGCAGGUCAGUACUGGCAUAGCAGCUUAACUCUAUAACCAAGAAUUCAUCUUCCUGAUAUAUUUCUACUUCAUUACCCUUACUGUUGGCUUUUGUCAUUGUAUCUGUCACCAUUGUGCUUCUCAUGUUCACACAAUUGAUUGCCACAACUCCAGGUGUCAUAUCCACUGUUAAGAUGGGGGAAAAGGAGUAGUAUCAAUUAGGCUCUAUUUUAUCAGAAAAACAAAAGCUUUCUCAGAAGCCUUCCCCAGGAAAUUUCUCUUACACCACAUUGUCCGGAACC
rnacentral:lncRNA from 1 species